rnacentral:rRNA from 1 species
CCUACGGGAGGCUGCAUUGGGGAAUUGUUCGCAAUGGGCGCAAGCCUGACGACGCAACGCCGCGUGGAGGAUGAAGAUUUUCGGAUCGUAAACUCCUUUCGAUCGAGACGAAUAGCCUUUGGGAUAACACCUCAGAGGAAUGACGGUACCGAGAGAAGAAGCCCCGGCUAACUCCGUGCCAGCAGCCGCGGUAAUACGGGGGGGGCAAGCGUUGUUCGGAAUUACUGGGCGUAAAGGGCUCGUAGGCGGCCAACUAAGUCAUACGUGAAAUCCCUCGGCUUAACCGGGGAACUGCGUCUGAUACUGGAUGGCUUGAGUUCGGGAGAGGGAUGCGGAAUUCCAGGUGUAGCGGUGAAAUGCGUAGAUAUCUGGAGGAACACCGGUGGCGAAGGCGGCAUCCUGGACCGAUACUGACGCUGAGGAGCGAAAGCCAGGGGAGCAAACGGGAUUAGAUACCCUGGUANUC